UUGCUCACUUUGGCAGCACAUGGAUGGAAACUGAAACAAUAUAGACAAGAUUAGCAUGGGCCCUGCUCAAGGGUAACACAGAAAAUGGUGGGGCGUUACUUAUUUAA